AUGGAGCAAGCCAAGGAGACAGAGGCUAUUGUGGAAACGGCAGAGCACGAGGAACAUGCUCCGGAGGAGAUUCAGGCUACUACAGUAGAGGACAAGUUGAAGAAGCUUAAUCUGAAGAAAAAGCCGAGGAGGCGCAAGGGUAAGAACAAGGCUGUGGACGAAUCCCUCUCUGACCCAAAUGCCUACGAAGCUCGUCUUCAUCGAAAAUUCUGGGAUUCAACAUUUGCUGGCCCACGAUAUGGUUGCUACGAGACCACAACUUCUAUGCCUCCCAUGCGAUUCACUGAUGAUGAGUGUGACCUCGCUGCCCCACUUCAGACUCUUCAGGUUUUUUCAGUCAAAGUCGCUGGAGUAAAGAAGGGGGUAUCUUGGCCACUUAGUCUCUAUGGCAAGAUUGCGGCACGCGACACAGUUGAUCGCAAUCGCAAUAUCAUCUUUGAUUGUGAGAGGGAUAACUGCGAAAUCCUCUACGAGGAUGCUCCAUAUUUACCUCUCACCGGUCCUUCCCGUGCUAUUGUGUUGUCAGUGCAUCAUUCAUAUAUUGAGGUUGAGUUGAAAACUAAACGAGAUUCCGGAGAUGAAGAAUUCAGCUACUUAUCUGAUGCCUACAUCGAGAUUGUCCCUUUUAACUCCUUCGUCAUGCAGCGAGAUUUUACUAGCAGGCUUAGCACGUUGCAGCUAACCGUUGCCCACAUUAUUCAUUCCGUGGAGGCUACAAUUAGUGUCAAAGUCAAUCAUGGGGAAUGGCCAUAUGGACAUGGAGGCCUGUUUACUGCAUCUACUGCUAGCAUCGACGACAUGGAAGUCGUGCUUCUCGGAUUUGAGGUUGAUGAGGUCCUACCUGUUAAGGAUGAUGGGCAUGUCGAGCUUUCUCGUUGUGUCGUUAGCGUUGAAAGUAAAGGAAAGCUGGAAGUCUCGGUGGAAGCGAACCCUGCCAGCGAUGAAGAGGAUGUAGUUAGAGACGACAUCUAUUUCACACCCAAGAGAUCUGGUAGGAGCCACCAAGUGUUCAAGGUUGGCUCUUGUGAGAUGGAGGUAACGGUGGCGUGGUCUCUCCUUUUGUCUUAUGGAUGA
rnacentral:rRNA from 1 species